AGCGAACGCUGGCGGCAGGCUUAACACAUGCAAGUCGAGCGCCCCGCCAGGGGUGCGGCCGACGGGAGAGUAACACGUGGGAACAUACCUUUUGGUUCGGAACAACUGAGGGAAACUUCAGCUAAUACCGGAUAAGCCCUUACGGGGAAAGAUUUAUCGCCGAAGGAUUGGCCCGCGUCUGAUUAGCUAGUUGGUGAGGUAACGGCUCACCAAGGCGACGAUCAGUAGCUGGUCUGAGAGGAGGAUCAGCCUCACUGGGACUGAGACACGGCCCAGACUCCUACGGGAGGCAGCAGUGGGGAGUAUUGGACGAUGGGGGCAACCCUGAUCCAGCCAUGCCGCGUGAGUGAUGAAGGCCUUAGGGUUGUAAAGCUCUUUUGCCCGGGAAGAUAAUGACGGUACCGGGAGAAUAAGCCCCGGCUAACUUCGUG
rnacentral:rRNA from 1 species